AGAGUUUGAUCCUGGCUCAGGACGAACGCUGGCGGCGUGCCUAAUACAUGCAAGUCGAGCGAGCUUGCCUAGAUGAUUUUAGUGCUUGCACUAAAUGAAACUAGAUACAAGCGAGCGGCGGACGGGUGAGUAACACGUGGGUAACCUGCCCAAGAGACUGGGAUAACACCUGGAAACAGAUGCUAAUACCGGAUAACAACACUAGACGCAUGUCUAGAGUUUGAAAGAUGGUUCUGCUAUCACUCUUGGAUGGACCUGCGGUGCAUUAGCUAGUUGGUAAGGUAACGGCUUACCAAGGCAAUGAUGCAUAGCCGAGUUGAGAGACUGAUCGGCCACAUUGGGACUGAGACACGGCCCAAACUCCUACGGGAGGCAGCAGUAGGGAAUCUUCCACAAUGGACGAAAGUCUGAUGGAGCAACGCCGCGUGAGUGAAGAAGGGUUUCGGCUCGUAAAGCUCUGUUGGUAGUGAAGAAAGAUAGAGGUAGUAACUGGCCUUUAUUUGACGGUAAUUACUUAGAAAGUCACGGCUAACUACGUGCCAGCAGCCGCGGUAAUACGUAGGUGGCAAGCGUUGUCCGGAUUUAUUGGGCGUAAAGCGAGUGCCGGCGGUUCAAUAAGUCUGAUGUGAAAGCCUUCGGCUCAACCGGAGAAUUGCAUCAGAAACUGUUGAACUUGAGUGCAGAAGAGGAGAGUGGAACUCCAUGUGUAGCGGUGGAAUGCGUAGAUAUAUGGAAGAACACCAGUGGCGAAGGCGGCUCUCUGGUCUGCAACUGACGCUGAGGCUCGAAAGCAUGGGUAGCGAACAGGAUUAGAUACCCUGGUAGUCCAUGCCGUAAACGAUGAGUGCUAAGUGUUGGGAGGUUUCCGCCUCUCAGUGCCGCAGCU
rnacentral:rRNA from 1 species